UACGUAGGGUGCAAGCGUUGUCCGGAAUCAUUGGGCGUAAGAGCGUGUAGGCGGCCCGAUCAGUCCGCUGUAAAAGUCCAAGGGCUCAACCCUGGGAUGCCGGUGGAUGACUGUCGGGCUAGAGUCCGGAAGAGGCGAGUGGAAUUCCUGGUGUAGCGGUGAAAUGCGCAGAUAUCAGGAGGAACACCAAUGGCGAAGGCAGCUCGCUGGGACGGUACUGACGCUGAGACGCGAAAGCGUGGGGAGCAAACAGG
rnacentral:rRNA from 1 species